rnacentral:SRP_RNA from 1 species
GCUGGGUGCAGUGGCACGUGCCUGUAGUCCCAGCUACAUGGGAGGCUGAGGCUGGAGGAUCGCUUGAGUCCAGGAGUUCUGGGCUGUAGUGCGCUAUGCCGAUUGGGUGUCCACACUAAGUUCGGCAUCAGUAUGGUGACCUCCUGGGAGCGGGGAACCAUCAGGUUGCCCGAGGAGGUGUGAGCCGGCCUAGGUCGGAAAUGGAGCAGGUCAAAACUCCCGUGCUGAUCGGUAAUGGGAUCGUGCCUGUGAAUAGCCACUGCACUGCAGCCUGGGCAACAUGGUGAGACCCCGUCUCU